rnacentral:rRNA from 1 species
AUUGAACGCUGGCGGCAGGCCUAACACAUGCAAGUCGAACGAGUGGCGGACGGGUGAGUAAUGUCUGGGAAACUGCCUGAUGGCGGGGGAUAACUACUGGAAACGGUAGCUAAUACCGCAUACCAUCAGAUGUGCCCAGAUGGGAUUAGCUAGUUGGUGGGGUAACGGCUCACCAAGGCGACGAUCCCUAGCUGGUCUGAGAGGAUGACCAGCCACACUGGACCUGAGACACGGGUCAGACGCCUCCGGGAGGCAGCAGUGGGGAAUAGUGCACAAUGGGCGCAAGCCUGAUGCAGCCAUGCCGCGUGUAUGAAGAAGGCCGUCGGGUUGUAAAGUACUUUCAGCGGGGAGGCGUUACCCGCAGAAGAAGCACCGGCUAACUCCGUGCCAGCAGCCGCGGUAAUAC